rnacentral:rRNA from 1 species
UACGAAGGGGGCAAGCGUUGUUCGGAGUUACUGGGCGUAAAGGGCGCGUAGGCGGAUCUGCAAGUCAGAGGCGAAAGCCCUGGGCUCAACCCGGGAAUUGCCUUUGAGACUGUUGGUCUUGAGCAUGGGAGAGGGUGGCGGAAUACCCAGUGUAGAGGUGAAAUUCGUAGAUAUUGGGUAGAACACCGGUGGCGAAGGCGGCCACCUGGCCCAUAACUGACGCUGAGGCGCGAAAGCGUGGGGAGCAAACAGG